rnacentral:tRNA from 1 species
CCUUCCCGAUGCUUCCGAUAAGGGAGCAGGCCAGUAAAAGCAUUACCCGU